rnacentral:lncRNA from 1 species
UUAUUUGUUUUUUAAAAAAAAUUAUAAAAAUAUAAUAUAAUUAAAUUUGAAAUUUUGGAUACUAACCAGCAAGCUCCAACUGGCCAAGGUAUGGUCAAUUGAAAAAUAUUUAUUUGUUAGAGAGAUACCGUUUUAUUUAUUUUUUCAUAAAUAAAUUUAGUUGAAAGUAUAAAAUAAAUAAGUUUCCAACUUAAAAAAUUGAGUAUUAAUUAUCAAAUUUUUUGUCACUAAUGUUAGAAAACUGCAGGUGAAGUUUUCUUUUUUGAGAGGAAAGUAUCAAUUUUUUAAAAAAAAUAAAAUUGAUUAUAAAUAUAAAGCAACUAAAUUUUAAUUUUGUGAUAUUUGUGCUAUAAAAUGCCCUUUGUAUCAAGUUUUAGUACAAAACUUUAAUUUGAGAGAAAAGUAAUAUGCCACUUGCUUCGUUUAUUUUUAAAGAAAAAUUAACUAAAAUAUAAAGUAAUUAAAUUUUGAAUUUAAAAUCUUAAAUACCAACCGUCAAAUUUUUGACAUCUUAUGUAGGGAUAGCCAGUAAGUAUUAGUGAGAAACUUCAAAUAUUUUCGAAUUAGUAAGAAACUUUUUUUUGAAAGAUAGAUAGUUUAUUACCUGUUUAGUUUAUUGUAUUUAGACAUAUAUUUAAUUAAAAAUAUAAAUGAAUUAGAAUUUAAAUUUGAAAUAUCGGGUAUUAAUCAUUAAGGCUUAGUUUGGUAUUAAGGUCUAUUUAACGUUGCUAGAUAAAAUGGAGUUAGGAAAAUAUCAUAUAGGAAUAUGCUUGAAAAAAACUAUAUAGGAAUAUCCUUCUGCAUUCUCCAGUAGAAUCGUAGAAAAUAUAUCAUAAUCGACUCAUCGCAAUAUGCGAAAUGCAAUAUUAUGUAUGAAAAUAAAUAUAAUAUUUUUUCAUUAUACUUUUUUAUCGUAUGUAAUGUAAAUUUUUCGUAAUAUAUAUUAUAUAUAUAU